rnacentral:rRNA from 1 species
GUGGGGAAUAUUGGACAAUGGGGGGAACCCUGAUCCAGCCAUGCCGCGUGUGUGAAGAAGGCCUUUUGGUUGUAAAGCACUUUAAGCGAGGAGGAGGCUACCGAGAUUAAUACUCUUGGAUAGUGGACGUUACUCGCAGAAUAAGCACCGGCUAACUCUGUGCCUGCAGCCGCGGUAAUACAGAGGGUGCAAGCGUUAAUCGGAUUUACUGGGCGUAAAGCGCGCGUAGGUGGCCAAUUAAGUCAAAUGUGAAAUCCCCGAGCUUAACUUGGGAAUUGCAUUCGAUACUGGUUGGCUAGAGUAUGGGAGAGGAUGGUAGAAUUCCAGGUGUAGCGGUGAAAUGCGUAGAGAUCUGGAGGAAUACCGAUGGCGAAGGCAGCCAUCUGGCCUAAUACUGACACUGAGGUGCGAAAGCAUGGGGAGCAAACAGGAUUAGAUACCCCAGUAGUCC